GCCUAGAUAGCUCAGUUGGAGAGCAGCUCACUUGUAAUGAGCAGGUCGGGGGUUCGAAUCCGCCUCUAGGCUCCA
rnacentral:tRNA from 1 species